CUGAUAAUGAGCAAACACUGGAGGCAUUACGCGUCUUUAGAAGAAGCAGACUUCCUACCUUAUUAAGACUGAUAGAAGGAAGAUGGAGAUGCACUGGCAUGAGUGGAGCUGGUGGAGUCACUAUCCCUGGAGGCAAUCAAGAACUGUGGAGAUGUGGCACAGAGGAGGAUGGUGGGGACGGGUUGGACAUGAUGAACUUAAUGAUCUUUUCCAACCUUGAUGAUUCUUUAAUAUAGACUUUUCUAAUCCUCCACAUGUAGUCAUACUACUUGGAAAUUAUCACAGAAGUUAGGAAAGCAAAGUAGAACACAUUCCCUCAGUCAGCAGUCAAAAAUAUGAAAGAAUAUGAUACCUACUCAUUGAGAAAUAGUAUCUGGUGAGAUUUGGUGGGGUAAAUUAUCCUGUAUUGGCAGUUAAAACAGUUCAGCUGAAAUCUGGCUUGUAGGAAUCUUGUCUUCUGCAAAAUACUGCUUGUUCAGAGAUCAAUAACCUGAAACUGUAAAGACAACAAAGGCUAAACUGUAUCUCCAGCUCAUUUGCAGAUUAAGCUCCGUCCAACAAACAUUUGUUGUUUCCAUUGCUGCGUUUCUAAGGUAAAGCCUAUGGAGUUUUCUCUGCAGGAGAAACAUUUACUUAUAAUGCAGAUUCCAAAAUGAUGCCUCUGCCUGAACAGAAUAUAUGUUUUUAGUGCCAAUCAACGUCUUUGUUGUUGCUGAAGAAUUGAGCGGAUUCAAUGGUGCGUCACCUAAGAACAGGAUGUCCAUUGAUUCACUCUGCAAUCUUUCCAUUUCUACCCUUUAUUCUGAAACAUGCCUGAUGAGGGAAGAUUAUGAUACGGGUACAGUGAUUAUUUUGGCAUCUGGCACAGAACCUAUUAGGCUCUCCAUCCAAGACAAUUAAUAAAAAGAAAAGGAGUAUUGAAAGGACAAGAUAACAUAGCACAAAGAGACAAGACUACAGUUUACCAAGAAAAUGUUUCUGAAGCAAAAGAAUGAGAAAAGUGCAUUACCUUUUAGCCUGACUGCGAUCAUAGAACAAGUCAGGCAAUGUCAGAGAGAAGGAUGUAGGAAAGAAUAAAGAAAACGGACAAAGAAAUGCAAAAACAUUUUUGACUUUACAAGAGGCUUGAUUUUGAUUCACUUAUAAAAGAGGGCCCUUUGAUUUAUUUAGAUCCACGUGAACUUCCUUGCUCAGCAAUUGUACAACCUGUUAACAAUUCUCUGUUGAUUAGACAAUGGAAAAGUAGAAAAGAAGCAGUCAUCAGAAAAACCAAAUACAUUCUAACAACUGGCUAUCACCUUCAAAGGACAUUGCCACGUUCCAGAGAGGAAAGUCCAGCAGAAACAGCUUGGUACCUACAAGACAGAAGAAUAUGCAAAGACAAGAAUUUGCUUGCGGAUUGUGCUGUUUUUGUUUAUUCCCAUUUCCAAUACUGGUGGACAUGAACAUCAACAAUAACCAAACACAUUCAGAUGAAAUAAAAGCUCCUCGAUUUCUCAUAACUUAUCAUUAAUUUAUAUUAAAACUGUAACUAAAACCCAAAUACCAAAAUUAUCAGUAAAAAAAAUUAUCUGAAAUACAGGCCCAGAGCUUUCUUCCAGAAUGAAGAGGCUAUGAUCAGAUUUCCUAAGGAGAAAUGUAGAUGAAACCAGAAGACUUUGCUUGAAGGAGGCAGAAACAGUCAGAAAUUUUCUGACUGAAGAAAAUUAACCACCACAGAAACAGCCUAUCAUACAAGAAGCUAGAUUUGAAGUUCCUGGAAACUGUUCAAGCUUAACGUUGCAAGGAGUAAUUAGGUUUCCAGGUAGAAUUGCAAGCCACUCAGAAGCUGAGAAUCCACUUCCCCAAAGAAUUAAGUAUUUUUUUUUUGUUUGUUUGUUUUUCCAUAUAUUUUCCACAAAAUAUGUAGUUCACAUAAAUAAAUAAAGGUCUUUGUGUG